rnacentral:misc_RNA from 1 species
CAUUUUGUAAAAUNUUUGGAAAAAUUAUCUCUUUGUCUUUUGAGUGAAAAACUGUUCUUUUGAGUUCAAUAUUCGAUAGAUUUUAACUNAUAACUGACAGAAUGGGAGUUCCAGCGUUUUUUCGUUGGCUUUCGAGGAAAUAUCCGUCGAUUGUCGUGCAUUGCGUUGAAGAAAAGGCUAAAGAAGUAGAUGGAGUAAAGUUCCCUGUGGAUACAAGUGGUCCAAAUCCAAAUGACUAUGAAUUUGAUAAUCUUUAUCUGGACAUGAAUGGAAUCAUUCAUCCAUGUUGUCACCCAGAAAAUAAACCUGCUCCCAAGAAUGAAGAUGAGAUGAUGUUAGCUAUCUUUGAAUAUAUCGACAGAAUCUUUGCCAUUGUCAGACCAAGAAAGUUNUUGUAUAUGGCUAUUGAUGGAGUGGCUCCCAGAGCUAAAAUGAACCAACAGAGAUCAAGGCGAUUCCGAGCUUCAAAGGAAAGCAGAGAAAAAAGUGAAGAAAUGGCUAAAAUAAGAAGCGAGCUAGCAGCAAAAGGAGCUUUGCUGCCUCCAGAAAAAGAUAAAACAGAGCAUUUUGAUAGUAACUGCAUUACUCCUGGCACAGAGUUUAUGGCCAAUUUGUCUGUGUGUCUGGGUUAUUACAUAACUGACAGACUAAAUAAUGACCCUGGAUGGAAAAACAUUAAGGUGAUCUUAUCAGAUGCCAAUGUACCAGGGGAGGGAGAGCAUAAAAUCAUGGAUUUUAUCAGGAAACAAAGAGCCAGCCCAGGCCAUGAUCCGAACACCAAGCAUUGCUUGAAUGGUGCAGAUGCUGAUUUAAUCAUGUUAGGCCUUGCUACUCAUGAACCUCAUUUCACCAUUAUCAGAGAAGAAUUCAAGCCAAACCAGAAGAGACCUUGUGAGCUUUGUGGACAAGUUGGUCAUGAAAUGGCAGAGUGCACAGGACUUCCAAAGGAAAAACAAGGAGAGUUUGAUGAGCUUUCCAAGCCAGUCAGCCAAGAGGUGGAGUUCAUCUUCAUAAGGAUUAAUGUUUUAAGAGAGUAUCUGGAAAGAGACUUGAGAUUGGAAAACCUACCUUUUGCCUAUGACUUUGAGAGAUGUGUAGAUGAUUGGGUUUUCAUGUGUUUCUUUGUUGGGAAUGACUUUCUGCCUCAUUUGCCUUCCUUAGAGAUCAGAGAGGGUGCAAUUGACAGGCUUGUAAAGUUUUACAAGAACGUUGUUCCCAGAUGUGGGGGUUACAUAACAAAGGAUGGAUUUGUGGAUUUAAAUAAAGUACAGCUAGUACUUCAAGAGCUUGGUUACGUUGAAGAUGAAAUUUUCAAAAAGAGACAACAGGAUAAUAUUGCAUUCAAGCAAAGAUUAAAGGCCAAAAAAGAUAGAGAAAAGAGGCAAAAAAUGAAUGGUAAUCCUCUGUGGACACCUGAUGGUCAGUUCAGUCCCCAUGCCCUUGGGUUCGGUACGAUUCCUGGAGCUAUCUCAUCACCAAGACAACAAGCCUUUGACAUGCGAAGACAAGGAAUGAAUUACACCCAAGACAGAGCCAACCAUACUGCAGCUGCUGACCUCAGAUCAAUGUUAACCAAGGGUGAAGAAACUAAGGGUGAGGCUAGUUCAAGUAGUAGCCAAGACAAUCCAUCCACGUCUGCACAGAGUAACAAAAGAAAGCUUGAAGAUGAUGACGAGGAGAAAGAUCCACCUGAUAACAUCAGGUUAUGGGAAGAUGGAUGGAAAGAGAGGUAUUAUACCAACAAGUUUGGUGUCAGUGAAGCAGAUGAAAGCUAUGAAGACUUUAGGACAAAAGUGGCUGAUGCUUAUGUGGAGGGUCUUUGCUGGGUGUUACAGUAUUACUACCAGGGAUGUCCAUCGUGGAAGUGGUAUUAUCCUUACCACUAUGCUCCCUUUGCUUCUGAUUUCCGCGACAUUGGAAGACUCAAAUCUACAUUUGAACGAGGAACAAAGCCAUUUAAGCCGCUGGAACAGCUGAUGGGUGUGUUCCCCGCUGCAAGUGGAAACUUCCUGCCUCCGACAUGGAGAAAUCUAAUGUCCAAUCCUGAAUCGCCUAUUAUCGAUUUCUACCCUAUCGAUUUCCAGAUUGAUUUGAAUGGAAAGAAGUACGCUUGGCAAGGAGUUGCUCUUCUGCCAUUUGUCGACGAGAAGCGUCUCUUAGAUGCUCUCGCCAAGGUGUACCCAGACAUUACUGAGCAAGAAGCUAAGCGUAAUUCUCUUGGAAAGGACCGUCUGUAUCUACGACAAGGCAAUCCAGCAUUUGACUUUUUAACAGCCACUUGAUCUGGUACCCGAUCUGGCUCAAGGAAUGUCUGGUAAAGUACAACCAGAAGAUGACCGGCCCAUAUUACCAAACACUGUUGUUCGGUCACCGAUACCAGGACAAUAUGACU